CGGCCUUUGUCUUCUCACAUGUCUGAACGCAGAAUGGGACAGCACCUUGCCCCACGUCUGAACACAGCGUGGGGAAGCACCAGCUUGAGAACAACUGGUGCCGUCCUUGGACGUUAUCUGCCCACAAAAGCAUAUCUUGUCCUCGAAAAUGAGCCAGGACGCCUCACGCUGAAAACAGGGAGACCUUCAGGACAUGUGAAAACACCGCUCCUGCUUACUGGGCAGACUUUAAGCAAAUCAACAAAGUGCUCUGGCCUGUCCCCCCUGAGAAGGGAAAGAUGAGUACAGCACUUGGCUGAGGUUCGAGAAAGGCAGUAUAAAAAUAAAGGUGCUGCACCACAUCGGGGCUGCAGCCAUUGUCUGUCUGUCUGUGUUGUUUGUGUUUUUUGUUCACUCUCAUUUCACCCGAGCGAGAGGCACCCAACAUCUGGUGCCCAACGUGGGGCACGCAUGGACGACCCGACCGUGGGGCAGGACCCCACAACCCUGAAGAAAUUUGAGAGAGGAUGCCAGGGGUGACUUGGGACCCAGAAAGGGGGCCAACUUCAGGACUCUGGAAGGACAAUGGCUCCCUGGAUAUAUCUUACAUUGCGGAUGUGGUUAUGCUUACGUUUCCACAGGAAACCAGUUCUACUGCUGGAGGAAAUGAAGAAAACAAACCAUGAAGCAAAAUGCUCAAGUUAUGUCUGUCUUUUGACAUGUUUGAUCUCAGCCAUGUAAUAUUUAAGGAAAGGAGGAGAUGAUGGGGAUGGCCUUUGUCUUCUCACAUGUCUGAAUGCAGCAUGGGAAAGCACCAGCUUGAGAACAACUGGUGCAGUCUUUGGACAUUAUCAGCCCACGAAGCAUAUCUUGUCCUCGAAAACGAGCCAGGAUGCCUCACUCUGAAAACAGGGAGACCUUGAGGAUGUGUGAAAACACUGCCCCUGCUUACUGGGCAGACGUUAAGAAAAUCAACAAGGUGCUCUGGCCUGUCCCCCCUGAUAAGGGAAAGAUGAGUAUAGCACUUGGCUGAGGUCUGAGAAAGGCAGUAUAAAAAUAAAGGUGCUGCGCCACAUCGGGGCUGCAGCCAUUGUCUGUCUGUCUGUGUUGUCUGUGUUUUUUGUUCUCUCAUUUCACCCAGAGAAAAUGUGCGGCACACUACA